CCUACGGGAGGCAGCAGUGGGGAAUAUUGCACAAUGGGGGAAACCCUGAUGCAGCGACGCCGCGUGAGUGAAGAGGUAUUUCGGUAUGUAAAGCUCUAUCAGCAGGAACGAGACAAGACGGUACCUGACUAAGAAGCCCCGGCUAACUACGUGCCAGCAGCCGCGGUAAUACGUAGGGGGCAAGCGUUAUCCGGAAUCACUGGGUGGAAAGGGAGCGUAGACGGCUGAGCAAGCCUGAAGUGAAAGGCGGGGGCCCAACCCCCGGACUGCUUUGGGAACUGUACGGCUGGAGUGCAGGAGAGGUAAGUGGAAUUCCUAGUGUAGCGGUGAAAUGCGUAGAUAUUAGGAGGAACACCAGUGGCGAAGGCGGCUUACUGGACUGUAACUGACGUUGAGGCUCGAAAGCGUGGGGAGCAAACAGGAUUAGAUACCCCGGUAGUC
rnacentral:rRNA from 1 species